UAUGGCUUAACCAUAGAACUGCUUGGGAAACUGAUAAUCUAGAGUGAGGGAGAGGCAGAUGGAAUUGGUGGUGUAGGGGUAAAAUCCGUAGAGAUCACCAGGAAUACCCAUUGCGAAGGCGAUCUGCUGGAACUCAACUGACGCUAAUGCGUGAAAGCGUGGGGAGCAAACAGGAUUAGAUACCCUGGUAGUCCACGCCCUAAACGAUGUAUACUAGUUGUUGCUAAGCUGGUCUUGGCAGUAAUGCACCUAACGGAUUAAGUAUACCGCCUGGGGAGUACGGUCGCAAGAUUAAAACUCAAAGGAAUAGACGGGGACCCGCACAAGCGGUGGAGCAUGUGGUUUAAUUCGAAGAUACGCGAAGAACCUUACCCGGACUUGAUAUCUAACAAAUCAUCUAGAGAUAGAAGAGUGUCUGCUUGCAGAAAUGUUAAGACAGGUGCUGCACGGCUGUCGUCAGCUCGUGUCGUGAGAUGUUGGGUUAAGUCCCGCAACGAGCGCAACCCACGUCAUUAGUUG
rnacentral:rRNA from 1 species